GAGCCGUCGCCGCCAUUUCAAGACCGUACUAGCUCCAGAUGGCGUCUUCCGUGGGCAACGUGGCCGACAGCACAGAACCAACGAAACGUAUGCUUUCCUUCCAAGGGUUAGCUGAGUUGGCACAUCGAGAAUAUCAGGCAGGAGAUUUUGAGGCAGCUGAGAGACACUGCAUGCAGCUCUGGAGACAAGAGCCAGACAAUACUGGUGUGCUUUUAUUACUUUCAUCUAUACACUUCCAGUGUCGAAGGCUGGACAGGUAGGAGAUGUUGGGGUACCUGCUCGUGAUUGCUGCCUCUGGGUGCUGAGCUUGAAAAAUGAUACUUAAAUAUUUGAACUUGAAAUUUUUC
rnacentral:lncRNA from 1 species